rnacentral:rRNA from 1 species
UCGAGCGGACAGAUGGGAGCUUGCUCCCUGAUGUUAGCGGCGGACGGGUGAGUAACACGUGGGUAACCUGCCUGUAAGACUGGGAUAACUCCGGGAAACCGGGGCUAAUACCGGAUGGUUGUCUGAACCGCAUGGUUCAGACAUAAAAGGUGGCUUCGGCUACCACUUACAGAUGGACCCGCGGCGCAUUAGCUAGUUGGUGAGGUAACGGCUCACCAAGGCGACGAUGCGUAGCCGACCUGAGAGGGUGAUCGGCCACACUGGGACUGAGACACGGCCCAGACUCCUACGGGAGGCAGCAGUAGGGAAUCUUCCGCAAUGGACGAAAGUCUGACGGAGCAACGCCGCGUGAGUGAUGAAGGUUUUCGGAUCGUAAAGCUCUGUUGUUAGGGAAGAACAAGUGCCGUUCAAAUAGGGCGGCACCUUGACGGUACCUAACCAGAAAGCCACGGCUAACUACGUGCCAGCAGCCGCGGUAAUACGUAGGUGGCAAGCGUUGUCCGGAAUUAUUGGGCGUAAAGGGCUCGCAGGCGGUUUCUUAAGUCUGAUGUGAAAGCCCCCGGCUCAACCGGGGAGGGUCAUUGGAAACUGGGGAACUUGAGUGCAGAAGAGGAGAGUGGAAUUCCACGUGUAGCGGUGAAAUGCGUAGAGAUGUGGAGGAACACCAGUGGCGAAGGCGACUCUCUGGUCUGUAACUGACGCUGAGGAGCGAAAGCGUGGGGAGCGAACAGGAUUAGAUACCCUGGUAGUCCACGCCGUAAACGAUGAGUGCUAAGUGUUAGGGGGGUUUCCGCCCCUUAGUGCUGCAGCUAACGCAUUAAGCACUCCGCCUGGGGAGUACGGUCGCAAGACUGAAACUCAAAGGAAUUGACGGGGGCCCGC